rnacentral:tRNA from 1 species
GCGGCGGUAGUUCAGUGGUAGAACGCUUCCUUCCCAAGGAAGAGGUCGCCGGUUCAAGCCCGGUCCGCCGCU